GAUACCCCACUAUGCCUAUCCGUAAUACACAAUUAAAUCACCAAUUGUUCGCCAAACAACUACGAGCGAUAGCUUAAAACUUAAAAGACUUGACGGUACUUCAUCCAACCUAGAGGAGCCUGUCUAAUAACCGAUAAUCCACGAUCAACCCAACCCACUCUUGCCCAACAGUCUAUAUACCGCCGUCGCCAGCAUACCUUGUAAAAGAAAUAAAGUAAGCUUAAUAGCAUCACACUAAAAUGACAGGUCGAGGUGUAACCAAUGAGAGGGUCACGAUGGGCUACAUUAUUCCCCCAAAUACGAACAAUACCGCGAAAUAGGUAUUCAAAGGCGGAUUUAGCAGUAAGAUAAGAAUAGAAUACUUAACUGAACAAAAUGCAAUGAAGUGCGUACACACCGCCCGUCAUCCCUGCCACUAUACUAUAAAUAUAAUUAAACCAACCAAAACUCUAAACCAGGGCAAGUCGUAACA
rnacentral:rRNA from 1 species